GUCCACGCCCUAAACGAUGUCAACUAGGUGUUGGGGGAGCGAUUUCUCAGUACCGUAGCUAACGCGCGAAGUUGACCGCCUGGGGAGUACGGCCGCAAGGUUAAAACUCAAAGGAAUUGACGGGGACCCGCACAAGCGGUGGAUGAUGUGGAUUAAUUCGAUGCAACGCGAACAACCUUACCUACCCUUGACAUGUCCGGAACCCUGCUGAGAGGUGGGGGUGCCCGAAAGGGAAUCGGAACACAGGUGCUGCAUGGCUGUCGU
rnacentral:rRNA from 1 species